AUUGAACGCUGGCGGCAUGCCUUACACAUGCAAGUCGAACGGCAGCACGGGAGCAAUCCUGGUGGCGAGUGGCGAACAGGUGAGUAAUAUAUCGGAACGUGCCCGGUCGUGGGGGAUAACGUAGCGAAAGCUACGCUAAUACCGCAUACGAUCUACGGAUGAAAGCGGGGGAUCGCAAGACCUCGCGCGAUUGGAGCGGCCGAUAUCAGAUUAGGUAGUUGGUGAGGUAAAGGCUCACCAAGCCGACGAUCUGUAGCUGGUCUGAGAGGACGACCAGCCACACUGGGACUGAGACACGGCCCAGACUCCUACGGGAGGCAGCAGUGGGGAAUUUUGGACAAUGGGCGCAAGCCUGAUCCAGCAAUGCCGCGUGCAGGAUGAAGGCCUUCGGUUG
rnacentral:rRNA from 1 species